UUUGGAGAAGUGGAUCUGACAUAAUUUCCACUAACCCACUAACCCACUAACCCACUAACCCUAACAUCUCAUUUCAUACUUUCUCAUUUUCUAUUUACUUCACACUGUCGCCGCCUACCUCUAAACCUAACCAUAUUCAUCAAUUUUUCCUUUCCCUCUCUAAUUCAUAUAGCUACUACUAAUUAUAGUAUUCAUUUUCUAUUUCCCCUUCUUGUUCAUUUAGUCAUAAUUCUUUUCUUUUUAAAUUUCUCUUAAUUUCGUUAGUUCCUAACAUAAAUAAUAACAUCAAAAUUUGAUUCUAACAUCAUAAAGCAUUUGUACUUUUGAAGAUGCAAAUGUGAGUAGUUGCUGAACUUGCUUGCUGUUCUGAAGAUGCAGAGUUGAGAUUUGAUUCUGAAAUUUAAAUUUUUGAAUUUGUAUUAUGGAUUGAUAAUUUUUUAUUUUUAGUGAUUUAUGUAUUUGAAGCCUUCCAGAUUUAUGAAUUAUUAUUUCUGAA